rnacentral:rRNA from 1 species
UCGGUUUCUAUCUAUGAUAUAUCAUACCCAGUACGAAAGGAUCGGUAUGAUAAAGCCAAUACUAAAAGCAUGCUUUCAGAUACAUAAAUAUACCACCCCACUCUCAACCUAGACAAGGUUAAUUAAGGACACAGCCCUUA